rnacentral:rRNA from 1 species
UACGAAGGGGGCUAGCGUUGCUCGGAAUCACUGGGCGUAAAGCGCACGUAGGCGGAUCCUUAAGUCGGGGGGUGAAAUCCUGGAGCUCAACUCCAGAACUGCCUUCGAUACUGAGGAUCUCGAGUCCGGGAGAGGUGAGUGGAACUGCGAGUGUAGAGGUGAAAUUCGUAGAUAUUCGCAAGAACACCGGUGGCGAAGGCGGCUCACUGGCUCGUAUCUGACGCUCAGGCGCGACAGCGUGGGGAUCAAACAGG